GACGAACGCUGGCGGCGUGCUUAACACAUGCAAGUCGAGCGGAAAGGCCCUUCGGGGUACUCGAGCGGCGAACGGGUGAGUAACACGUGAGUAACCUGCCCCAGACUUUGGGAUAACCCUCGGAAACGGGGGCUAAUACCGGAUACGACACAGCUUCGCAUGGGGUCUGUGUGGAAAGUUUUUCGGUUUUGGAUGGGCUCGCGGCCUAUCAGCUUGUUGGUGGGGUGAUGGCCUACCAAGGCGACGACGGGUAGCCGGCCUGGGAGGGCGACCGGCCACACUGGGACUGAGACACGGCCCAGACUCCUACGGGAGGCAGCAGUGGGGAAUAUUGCACAAUGGGCGGAAGCCUGAUGCAGCGACGCCGCGUGAGGGAUGACGGCCUUCGGGUUGUAAACCUCUUUCAGCAGGGACGAAGCGUAAGUGACGGUACCUGCAGAAGAAGCGCCGGCCAACUACGUG
rnacentral:rRNA from 1 species